UUCUAGACUUUCAGCCUUCUAUGUUGCAGGAAACAUCCAUCGCGAACAAUCGGAUCGUCCUUGUGUAAAUGCUUCAGUUAGUUCCUGGACCCAAAUUUAUUGCUGGAGGUUUAGAAACUUGAUGGUUUAAUCUACAGAAAUUCAGGUGGCAGCCUCGGGAGCUCUGAUUUUCCAGGGCAUGAGAGAGCUUGGCACUACUGCUGGUUCCAUAUUUGAAUGGAUUCCUAUGGACCGUUAGACUCUAAUUCACCAGGUGCUCUCCAAACCUCCCUUCGAACCUGUCAUGAAGAGUUAAGUGUUCUCUAGUACCAUCAAAGUCAUCUGCUUUGGUAUGGGAGGUAAAGUGAGAUUAAUGCGCUGUCCAUCAAAGAACUGUUCCUACAUUUCUUGGAUAAAAUCAUCUUGUGAAAAAACUCCAGCUACAUAAAGAUCAAAUAAACUUUACAUUGAAUUUGGGUUAUCUAAUUUCACUU